AUACGGAGGGUGCAAGCGUUAAUCGGAAUUACUGGGCGUAAAGCGUACGUAGGCGGUCCGUUAAGUUAGAUGUGAAAGCCCCGGGCUUAACCUGGGAACUGCAUUUAAAACUGGCGAACUAGAGUUGAGUAGAGGGGAGUGGAAUUUCAGGUGUAGCGGUGAAAUGCGUAGAGAUCUGAAGGAACACCAGUGGCGAAGGCGACUCCCUGGACUCGAACUGACGCUGAGGUACGAAAGCGUGGGUAGCAAACGGGAUUAGAUACCCUAGUAGUCC
rnacentral:rRNA from 1 species